CUCUUUGUCUGAAACUUUGCAAAAUAAACUCCUUGGUCACCCCGUGCUUUGUGGGUAGCGAGCUGGAAUGGAAUUUUGCUGUCUUAAAUUGGGGGUUAAUUUCUUGGUUUCAGCUGAAUUGUGAAAGGGAGAGACAAGACCCUUGGAAAGGUAUGAAUAUGGAUGCUGAGGACUAGCCAGGCCCUCCCCUUCCAGCAGCUUCCAUGAGGGAUUCAGAGGCCGGCUGUUUCGAACCUCCCAUUAGUGAUGCUUCCAGCCCCCACCCCCACCCCCGCCCCCGCCCCCGCCUGCCAUGCAUUUAUCUUGCAAGGGCAUAUUUAGGAUGUUUCCCUUCUGUGUUAUCUGUAGAAUUACUUUCCAUUCGGAGGUCUUUUGUAUAAGUAUUCCCUUGAACCCGUUCCAAAAAGUGGGUUUUUAACCCAAUAGACCGUAACUGCAGUGUUUUAUUGUGCAUACAUGUUUCAAAAUGUGAAUGUAAGUAGAUUUAGCAAAGUUAAAAUAAAAUUAAAACUUUUCAAAGGGCACUAUGCUCGCUUUCCCUUGUUGGACUUUUCCCUUUGGAAUUCUUACACCAUUUGAAAGAUUCUCUACAAACACGAAGAGCUUUUCACAUGUCUGUCUGUCUUACUUGCUUGCUUUUUCCUUCUUUCUUGCUUGCUUGCUUGCUUGCUUUUUCUUUCUUGCUUGCUUGCUUUCUCUUUCUUCCUUCCUUCCUUGCUUGCUUGCUUUCUUGCUUUCUUCCUUGCUUGCUUUCUUUCACCUCCACAAGGGAUGGGGNCCACAGAUGGGUUUUGGCCUGUCUUUGUCCCCGCGGUGUCCUCGAUCAAAGUGUCGGAUGAAUUCUGAAUCUGUGAGUUAGCGCAUUUAGGUCAGCAUUGUAUUGUCAGUAAGAUGUGUAACUGGAGCGUUGCUUCUCCUCUUAUUUGGUCUUGAAAUCCCUUCUUCAGGCAGAAAUUCAAGUUGUUGCUCUAGUAUCACCACCAGGCUGUUGAACACUACCCUGCUAAAUCCUCUCACUGGCUGUCCGUAUCCUUCGGGAUAAAACCUUAAAUCCUUACCAGACCCCUUCAGUCGCCUGCCGGUCUCUGCAGCCUACUCUCUCAUCCUGUUCCCCGACUGCACAACCUGCCACAGGGCCUUUGCACCGGCUGCGGACAGCCUGGAGUAGUCUUUUCUCCUGCUUUAGCUAAUAAACUCUUUAGAGGCUCAAAGGAAUCGUCACUUUCAGCAGUUUGUGCAGUUACUUUAUCUUUCUUAGCUGUGUUUUCUUUUUAUUACAACUUUUUGGAAAGAAUUGAGGAAUAAGUGGUAUCAUUCACUGAAGCCCUUGGCAUCAUAGUUGGCACGUGGUAGGUGAGCAGGCUCUGAAUAUUAAGUAUCCUUGAGUCCUUUCCUUUGGAUUCUUGUGCUUCUUCUAUGGGUUUUGGUGGGAGGACCAGAGAUCAAGAAGAAGAGGGGAGAGUAAGGGUGGUUUUGGCACAACCUCUGUCACGCCCCCAGCAUACCAUGGAAAGGGCCUCUCUUCCCCACUACCAAGGUUUCAGUGACUGUUUCUCCCUCAGUUCCUGGGUUGAAAUCCUGAACGCGCUCCCCACCUGCCGCCCAGAGUUGACGGCAUUAGGUGCUGGGACCUUUGAGAGCUGCUUGGUUCCUGAGGGUAGAACUCUCAGCAGCGGGAUCAGCACCUUAUCAGGCCAGCUCCCAGCACUCCCCGCCCCCUGCGCCACCUGAGGAUGCAGUGACAUGGGGCCAGCUGUGAACAAGGAAGAGGACCGCUUUACUCUGCAGGCGUCCGUGGACCUUGACUUUGGACUUUCCAGCCUGUGCUAUUCUGCUCCAGCGGCUUGAAUGCACCAAGAUACCAUGUGCUCCCUUGGCUUCGUCACGCCCCUCCCCUGCCCCGGGUCGAAGGGAAAGAAGGGGCCAGGUGGAGGUGAGCACCCUCGCUCCUUAUCCUCCUCCUUUUACAGUGAAGACACUGAGGUUCGGGGCAAUUACGGGCCUCCCGUGGCGCCAGCCUCCACUCUUGCCGACCGCAAGCCCGCACAGGUGACUGUGCGUUUCGCGCAUGCCUUUAAAACAGAAGCGCGGGUUCAGGACUUUGGUUAGGUCCUUCCUGUGUUCUCCAGAACACACGCCGUGACACGGGCUCCCAGCCUUUCAUCGUGCAGCUCUCUGACACGUACACAGACAGGCCUCUGGCUCGCGCGAUGCUACUACAAAGGUCCCCUGCUUUUCAUAAACAGAUCGCUGCAAGGCCGCUUCUCGAGAAAGCAACUUCUGCUGCCCCCUGUGUGCUUUUAAGCUUUGCUGUGAAGUGCAAAGUCGAGCUGGCAGGCCUCUCUUUCUUCUCCACUUUAUGUAUGAUUCAUGAAGAAACUCGGCAGGUCAUGGGGUGUACCCUGCCACCUGGACCGUGCUGCCUCCCGAGAGCAUCACACAGGGGUCGGGACCCGUGUGACUCUGCGUGCAGGUAGGUCAGCGAGGGGAGCGGGAAAGAACCAUCCUGCAGGGUUUUAUUUUUUCAAGUUUCUCAUCGCGGAGAACAAUUCCAGCACUGCUAACCAAAGUGCCAUGUGUCCUUUUAAGAGCCUGAACCCCUAGGGGGGACCGAAGAGGCAGCCCCGAGACCAGGUGACAGUUAACCAUGGGGGUUGUACCUCUCAGUGCCCCCGACCCAGAGUAGGUGCUGGUUGGAGAUCCAGCCGGAUUCCCCUGGACCACAGACCUUUUUUCUACCAUGAGAGGUUCAUUCUUUUGAGGCUUUGAGAGCUUUGCUUUGAAAUACUAGUGCCCAGCAGAUGGGAACACCAGAAACUGCUGUCACCUAAGAGCUGGCUACGAGUUUAGUGUACAGCUAGUGUUUUGUUACACAUGCAUGUGCAAACACCCAAGUUCUGAGAUGACGUGCUUCCAUUUUUUGUAUGUUUGGCUGAUGUUUUGAUAUCUCUCUCACCUCCUCCCUCAUUCGUGCACCGCAUAGCUUUGAUUCGGAGAGCCCGUGGAAGUAUGAACGUUCUCGGGACUUAGAACUGAUGAGACUGCGUCCGGCCUAGAAACAUCCUGCGGCAGGAGCAAGGCCGAGGGCCAGUGGGCUAGAGGUUCGGCGCUAGGCUGGAGUGUGUGUUCGCAGGUGUGGGGGUGGGGGGUGAGAUUUUGGGGUAAGUGCUGAAUGUGUGAACAAGGAGGAGGACAAAGGACUCAGAGCAGGAAAGAGCCUGUAAAGCAUCUAGUAUUUAAAAACCCUCUGCCGCCUGCCAGACUGAGAGCUGUGACUUCUCUUGAGAGUCUUCACAGCAUCUGUCGUCUGUGGGGCCUGUUUCCUCACCGCACUCUCAGGAAGCCUUGCCCUCAUGGUGAGACUUCAGAUCCAAGGCGAGGUACGAAAGCCAGGCUCUUUCCCCUCAGUAGCAGCGGCUGCGUGUUGUCUGACUCGGGGUUUGCUGAGGUCUGGCCCUGGGCUAGAGUUGGGUGUAUGAACCUCUUCCAGGCGACACCUCAAGUAUUUGGCCCUCGGGUUGGAUCCCUUGAUCCACCUCCAAAGAGGCAGGAGGAGGGAUGGCAGGUGGCCUUGCUUCUGGGCCACCCCGCCUCAGGUUCUGAUUGGAGGGCCUCUCAGUCAGCUCCUCUGCGAGGAAGGGGAGGCUUUCUAACAUGUGGUCUCCAGCCAGACGAGAGGGGAGACGGAAUUACUUGCAAUGAAUUGUCACGGACUUGGCGUGUCCUCCCAAAAUUCAUACAGUGAAGCUGUAAUGCCCAACAUCAUAGCAUUUGGGGCCUGUGGGAGGUUACAGUUUGGAUUAGGCGAUGAGAGCAGGACCCUCAUGAUGGAAUGAUGCCCUUAUAAGAAGAGGAAGGAGUUCCCGUCGUGGCGCAGUGGUUAACGAAUCUGACUAGGAACCAUGAGGUUGUGGGUUCGCUCCCUGGCCUUGCUCUGUGGGUUAACGAUCCGGCGUUGCCAUGAGCUGUGGUGUAGGUCGCAGACACAGCUCGGAUCCCGCAUUGCUGUGGCUCUGGCGUAGGGCAGUGGCUACAGCUCCGAUGCAACCCCUAGCCUGGGAACCUCCAUAUGCCGCGGGAGCGGCCCAAGAAAUGGCAAAAAGACAAAAAAAAUAAAAA
rnacentral:lncRNA from 1 species